rnacentral:rRNA from 1 species
AACGAACGCUGGCGGCGUGCCUAAUACAUGCAAGUCGAACGGUCUUUUCUAUGGAAGCUUGCUUCCGCUGAGAAGAUAGUGGCGAACGGGUGAGUAACACGUGGGUAACCUGCCCAUAAGAGGGGGAUAACAUCCGGAAACGGGUGCUAAUACCGCAUAGUUUUCUUGAUCGCAUGAUUGAGAAAGGAAAGACGGCCUUUGUGCUGUCGCUUAUGGAUGGACCCGCGGCGUAUUAGUUAGUUGGUGAGGUAACGGCUCACCAAGACGAUGAUACGUAGCCGACCUGGGAGGGUGAUCGGCCACAUUGGGACUGAGACACGGCCCAAACUCCUACGGGAGGCAGCAGUAGGGAAUCUUCCGCAAUGGACGAAAGUCUGACGGAGCAACGCCGCGUGAGUGAAGAAGGUUUUCGGAUCGUAAAACUCUGUUGUCAGAGAAGAACAAGUCGGAGAGUAACUGCUCCGGCCUUGACGGUAUCUGACCAGAAAGCCACGGCUAACUACGUGCCAGCCGCCGCAGUAAUAC